UUACGGCCAUAUGAUGUUGAAACACCGGUUCGCGCUCGAUCAGCGAAAUUAAGCAACGUCGAGCCUGGCCAGUAACUAUAUGGGGCACCGCUUGAGAAUUUCAGGUGCUGCAA